rnacentral:lncRNA from 1 species
AUGGUAAUGAGGUGGGCUGUUCUUUGUGGCAAUGAGGUGGGCGGGGCUUAUAUGGUAAUUGUCUGUAUGCUAAUGAAGGUGGGCGUGGUUUGUAUGGUAAUGAGGCGGGCGUGGCUUGAUGGAGUGUGGCACGUGGCAGCUCUUGGCCUAUGGGGCUCGGCCCAGUUCAUCCCAGUCCAUCCCAGUUCCAUCCCAGUUUAUCCCAGUUCAUCCCAGUUUAUCCCAGUUUAUCCCAGUCCCAUCCCAGUCCAUCCCAGUUCAUCCCAGUUUAUCCCAGUGCCACUCUAUUGCCUUCCCAGUCCAUCCCAGUCCAUCCCAGUCCAUCCCAGUCCAUCCCAGUCCCAUACUGGUCCCAUCCCAUUCCAUCCCAUUCCAUCCCAGUCCCUCCCAUUCCAUCCCAGUCCAUCCCAUUCCAUCCCAGUCCAUCCCAUUCCAUCCCAGUUUGAUCCCAUUCCAUCCCAUUCCAUCCCAGUCCCAUACUGGUCCCAUACUGGUCCCAUACUGGUCCCAUCCCAGUCCCAAUCUCCAUCUCUCUCUUAUUUCUUUCCCAGUUCCUCCCAGUCCCCGUGUCACCCGACUGGCAGCGGCGUCAGACAUGGAGUAUGAACGAAGG